GGAGGGGUAGCGUAACUGGUAACGCAGUGGUCUUGAAAACCACCGCCCGAUGAGGGCUUGCAGGUUCGAGUCCUGUCCCCUCCGCCA
rnacentral:tRNA from 1 species